UACGUAGGGCGCAAGCGUUAUCCGGAAUUAUUGGGCGUAAAGAGCUCGUAGGCGGUUUGUCGCGUCUGCCGUGAAAGUCCGGGGCUCAACUCCGGAUCUGCGGUGGGUACGGGCAGACUAGAGUGAUGUAGGGGAGACUGGAAUUCCUGGUGUAGCGGUGAAAUGCGCAGAUAUCAGGAGGAACACCGGUGGCGAAGGCGGUUCUCUGGGACGCAACUGACGCUGAGACGCGAAAGCGUGGGGAGCAAACAGG
rnacentral:rRNA from 1 species